UGCAGUCGACGAGAACGGGUUAUAGCUUGCUAUAACUGUUAGCUAAGUGGCGCACGGGUGAGUAAUAUAUAGGUAAUGUGCCCUAGAGAAGAGGAUAACAGUUGGAAACGACUGCUAAUACUCUAUAUGCCUUUAAGACAAAAGUCUGCAAGGGAAAUAUUUAUAGCUCUAGGANCGGCCUGUACGGUAUCAGCUAGUUGGUGAGGUAAUGGCUCACCAAGGCAAUGACGCCUAACUGGUUUGAGAGGAUGAUCAGUCACACUGGAACUGAGACACGGUCCAGACUCCUACGGGAGGCAGCAGUGGGGAAUAUUGCACAAUGGGGGAAACCCUGAUGCAGCAACGCCGCGUGGAGGAUGACACAUUUCGGUGCGUAAACUCCUUUUAUAUAGGAAGAUAAUGACGGUACUAUAUGAAUAAGCGCCGGCUAACUCCGUGCCAGCAGCCGCGGUAAUACGGAGGGCGCAAGCGUUACUCGGAAUCACUGGGCGUAAAGAGCGUGUAGGCGGGUUAAUAAGUUUGAAGUGAAAUCCUAUGGCUCAACCAUAGAACUGCUUUGAAAACUGUUAACCUGGAGUUUAGAAGAGGUAACUGGAAUUGGUGGUGUAGGGGUAAAAUCCGUAGAGAUCACCAGGAAUGCCAACGGCGAAAGCAAGUUACUGGGAUAAUACUGACGCUGAGGCUCGAAAGCGUGGGGAGCAAACAGGAUUAGAUACCCUGGUAGUCCCCU
rnacentral:rRNA from 1 species